GACGAACGCUGGCGGCGCGCUUAACACAUGCAAGUCGAGCGAGAACCAGGGCUUCGGCCCUGGGGACAGCGGCGAACGGGUGAGCAACACGUGGGUAAUCUGCCCUCGGCACCGGAAUAGCCCGGGGAAACCCGGAUUAAUGCCGGAUGGCCCCUUCACCUCGCGCGGUGUCGGGAAAAGGUAGCUUCGGCCUCUGGCCGAGGAUGAGCCCGCGGCGGAUUAGCUUGUUGGCGGGGUAACGGCCCACCAAGGCGACGAUCCGUAGCUGGUCUCAGAGGACGAUCAGCCACACUGGGACUGAGACACGGCCCAGACUCCUACGGGAGGCAGCAGUGGGGAAUCUUGCGCAAUGGGCGAAAGCCUGACGCAGCGACGCCGCGUGAGGGAAGAAGGCCUUCGGGUUGUAAACCUCUUUCAGGAGGGACGAAGCUACUCGGGUGAAUAGCCCAGAGGGUGACGGUACCUCCAGAAGAAGCCCCGGCUAACUACGUGCCAGCAGCCGCGGUAAUAC
rnacentral:rRNA from 1 species